AGCAGCUUGGCGCAGUGGAAGCGCGGUAUGUUUCUGCUCCACAAUGUAACUUAACGAUAGAGUACUAACAUAUCCCAGCCGGGCUCAUAACCCGGAGGUCACUGGAUCGAAACCAGUAGCUGCUA
rfam:Fusarium fujikuroi IMI 58289 draft genome, chromosome FFTJ_chr09